rnacentral:tRNA from 1 species
GGGGCUGUAGCUCAGUGGUAGAGCACUCGCCUUGCGCGUGUGAGGUACUGGGUUCGAUCCUCAGCACCACA